rnacentral:rRNA from 1 species
UACGGGGGGAGCAAGCGUUGUUCGGAUUUACUGGGCGUAAAGGUCGCGUAGGCGGUCAGCACAAGUCAGUUGUGAAAUCUCCGGGCUUAACUCGGAAAGGUCAACUGAUACUGUGCGACUAGAGUGCAGAAGGGGCAACUGGAAUUCUCGGUGUAGCGGUGAAAUGCGCAGAUAUCAGGAGGAACACCGGUGGCGAAGGCGGGUCUCUGGGCCGAUACUGACGCUGAGGAGCGAAAGCGUGGGGAGCGAACAGG